GUGGGGAAUAUUGGGCAAUGGGCGCAAGCCUGACCCAGCAACGCCGCGUGAAGGAAGAAGGCUUUCGGGUUAUAAACUUCUUUUACCAGGGACGAAACAAAUGACGGUACCUGGUGAAUAAGCCACGGCUAACUACGUGCCAGCAGCCGCGGUAAUACGUAGGUGGCGAGCGUUAUCCGGAUUUAUUGGGUGUAAAGGGCGUGUAGGCGGGACAGCAAGUCAGAUGUGAAAACCAGAGGCUCAACCUCUGGCCUGCAUUUGAAACUGUUGUUCUUGAGUGUCGGAGAGGUAAUCGGAAUUCCGUGUGUAGCGGUGAAAUGCGUAGAUAUACGGAGGAACACCAGUGGCGAAGGCGGAUUACUGGACGAUAACUGACGCUGAGGCGCGAAAGCGUGGGGAGCAAACAGGAUUAGAAACCCGGGUAGUCC
rnacentral:rRNA from 1 species